rnacentral:lncRNA from 1 species
AUUCAUCCAGAAAGUCCAGCCCAGUGGAAAGUCAUCCACAACUUCAUGUAAAGCAAUUUGCCCAAGUUUGUGGAACUUGAACUCAAAAGUGCUUGGCUCACUUCAGUCACCUACAUGGUUUUUUAAGUGGAAAAAAUGGAUCUAUUUUUUCCCUCUUAUCAGUGUAACAACUCCUCUAUUUACGUACCAAGUCAUUAUCAGCAGGUCUUAUAUCAAUUCAUCCUGUUCUCUUUGCUCCAGGCGUGGGCAGCUGGAGGGCAAGUGUGCUGCUGGCUACUUCUGCCUCGCUGGGAGCUCGCAGUCUGCUCCACAGGGCCCUGGCUUUUCCUGGCGCUUUCUGUCUGGAUGCCGCUGGGGCCAGGUGUGUGCUGGGCUGUGUCCUGCAGGUUUCUAUUGCCUGGAGGGCUCUGAGGUGCCCAUACCGUGUCCUUCCAAUACUAUCAGAGAUGUUCCAGGGGCUGGGCGGAGAGAAGACUGCCUGCCCUGUCCACCCGGCCGCUGGUGCAAAGCAGGGGACUCAGAGGCUUAUCCAUGUCCCUCAGGACACUAUUGCCUCGGAGGUAAUGUCAGUGACCAAAGCAAUCUCCUGGCACCUCAGAAAUGCCCUCCGCACACUUACCGCAAACACCCUGGAGCUCAGAGUGUGGCAGAUUGCCAGCCGUGUCCUCCAGGCUAUCACUGCCCUUUAUCAGGUAAGUGCCAGAUGAAAGCCAACCCUCUUCCACCACUGGAGCUGAUUACAAAACUCCCCAAGACGAGAUAGGGAAGGGGAGAGGUAGUUCAUGUUCACACUGAGCUUAGAGCUCCUCUCUAAAACACCUCCCGGCCAUUCAGCCUCCCUUUCUUCAUUCUUUUCUCUUCCCAACAGGUCUGACCAGGUUUGAGGAUUAUCCGUGCCCCCUGGGAUACUGGUGCCCUGGUAAAGGGGACGCUUUCCUUUGUCCACCUGGUACUUCCAGGAGCCAGCCUGGUGCAAAAUCACUGGAAGAGUGUGAUCCCUGCUCACCUGGGUACUAUUGCCCAGACCCAGCACACACAGGGCUACCUAACAGCCAAGGAAUACCUUGUAAACCUGGCUUUGAAUGCCCAGCAGGUGAUGUAACCAUGCAUCCUGGUUUUCUUUAUUUCCAGCUCUUUCUGAGUCCAGAUAGGUGAACAGUGGACAGCGGGCAUAAGUAAUCCAGGGCUAGAUACUCAGGUGUG